UGGGGAAUAUUGCACAAUGGGCGCAAGCCUGAUGCAGCCAUGCCGCGUGUGUGAAGAAGGCCUUCGGGUUGUAAAGCACUUUCAGCGAGGAGGAAGGUGGUGGACUUAAUACGUUCAUCAAUUGACGUUACUCGCAGAAGAAGCACCGGCUAACUCCGUGCCAGCAGCCGCGGUAAUACGGAGGGUGCAAGCGUUAAUCGGAAUUACUGGGCGUAAAGCGCACGCAGGCGGUUUGUUAAGUCAGAUGUGAAAAUCCCCGGGCUCAACCUGGGAACUGCAUUUGAAAACUGGCAAGCUAGAGUCUCGUAGAGGGGGGUAGAAAUUCCAGGUGUAGCGGUGAAAUGCGUAGAGAUCUGGAGGAAUACCGGUGGCGAAGGCGGCCCCCUGGACGAAGACUGACGCUCAGGUGCGAAAAGCGUGGGGAGCAAAACAGGAUUAGAUACCCUGGUAGGUCCACGCUGUAAAACGAUGUACGAUUUUGGNGGUUGUGCCCUUGAGGGCGUGGCCUUCGGAGCUAACGCCGUUAAAUCGACCGCCUAGGGGAGUACGGCGCAAGGUUAAAACUCAAAGGAAUUGACGGGGUCAUAGCUG
rnacentral:rRNA from 1 species